ACCAUCUCCAGGACCUGUGGUGGGAAAGUCCAGGACUGGUCAGAAUGUGAGCCUAUGUGACUAGUGUGGAAUUGGAACUGUUGAGAGUAGAAAGACAGACUUUUGCAGUAACAAGCAGCAGCAGGAAGAAUUAGAAUAUAUGGUGAAAAAUCAACUCCAGGAACUUGGGCAUUAUCGAAUGCUGCUCAGAGGCCUUUUUAUUUGUGAUGCAAGAACACCAACAUGAAGAGCCAGCAAGCUUCCUCAGGGGUUUCUGGAGUAUCUCCUUGGAAACAACACCGUUUAACCAGGCUGUGAAGGAAGAGUCAGCCAUGGACCCAAGGCUUUUCCUUUUCCUGAUCCAUGUUCUGCUCUGACUACCACAGACCCCUGCGUGGAGGAUGACAGGACUGAUUCCUAGGGAUGGAUCAGACAUCUAUUGCGUGUCAACUGUGCAGACUGAAGUUGGCCUCCUAACUGGUCAUGCCAGAGAGGUUUCUGCUCUUUCUUUCUCUCUGUAACUCAUUUGU